rnacentral:rRNA from 1 species
GGGGGCGAGCGUUAUCCGGAAUUAUUGGGCGUAAAGGGUGCGUAGGCGGUUAGGAAAGUCUAUAAUUUAAUUUCAGUGCUUAACGCUGUCUUGUUAUAGAAACUACCUUGACUAGAGUUAGAUAGAGGCAAGCGGAAUUCCAUGUGUAGCGGUAAAAUGUGUAAAUAUAUGGAGGAACACCAGAAGCGUAGGCGGCUUGCUGGGUCUUGACUGACGCUGAGGCACGAAAGCGUGGGUAGCAAACAGGAUUAGAUACCUUGGUAGUCCACGCCGUAAACGAUGAGUACUAAGUGUCGGGAUAAAACUCGGUACUGAAGUUAACACAUUAAGUACUCCGCCUGAGUAGUACGUACGCAAGUAUGAAACUUAAAGGAAUUGACGGGACUCCGCACAAGCGGUGGAUCAUGCUGUUUAAUUCGAAGAUACACGAAAAAUCUUACCAGGUCUUGACAUGCUCUGCAAAGCUAUAGAAAUAUAGUGGAGGUUAUCAGGGACACAGGUGGUGCAUGGUUGUCGUCAGUUCGUGUCGUGAGAUGUUAGGUUAAGUCCUAAAACGAGCGCAACCCUUGUCGUUAGUUACCAGCACGUAAUGGUGGGCACUUUAACGAGACUGCCAAUUAAACAUUGGAGGAAGGUGAGGAUUACGUCAAAUCAUCAUGCCCCUUAUGAUCUGGGCUACAAACGUGAUACAAUGGCUGUUACAAAGAGUAGCUGAAGCGCGAGUUUUUAGCCAAUCUCAAAAAAAGCAGUCUCAGUUCGGAUUGAAGUCUGUAACUCGACUUCAUGAAGUUGGAAUCGCUAGUAAUCGCGAAUCAGCAUGUCGCGGUGAAUACGUUCCCCGGGGUUUGU